GCACAAGCGGUGGAGCAUGUGGAUUAAUUCGAUGCAACGCGAAGAACCUUACCUGGGUUUGACAUAUAGGGAAAUCUUCCAGAGAUGGGAGGUCCGUAAGGGUCCUAUACAGGUGGUGCAUGGCUGUCGUCAGCUCGUGUCGUGAGAUGUUGGGUUAAGUCCCGCAACGAGCGCAACCCUCGUCCUAUGUUGCCAGCACGUUAUGGUGGGGACUCAUAGGAGACUGCCGGGGUCAACUCGGAGGAAGGUGGGGAUGACGUCAAGUCAUCAUGCCCCUUAUGUCCAGGGCUUCACGCAUGCUACAAUGGCCGGUACAAAGGGCUGCGAAGCCGUAAGGUGGAGCGAAUCCCAAAAAGCCGGUCUCAGUUCGGAUUGGGGUCUGCAACUCGACCCCAUGAAGUCGGAGUCGCUAGUAAUCGCAGAUCAGCAACGCUGCGGUGAAUACGUUCCCGGGC
rnacentral:rRNA from 1 species